UACGGAGGGUGCAAACGUUGCUCGGAAUCAUUGGGCGUAAAGCGCACGUAGGCGGUUCGUUAAGUCGGAUGUGAAAGCCCCAGGCUCAACUUGGGAAGUGCAUUCGAAACUGGCGAGCUUGAAUAUGGAAGAGGGUCGCGGAAUUCCCGGUGUAGAGGUGAAAUUCGUAGAUAUUCGGAAGAACACCAGUGGCGAAGGCGGGUCUCUGGGCCGAUACUGACGCUGAGGAGCGAAAGCGUGGGGAGCGAACAGG
rnacentral:rRNA from 1 species